UUCAGUUUUCUUUUGACAGAUAAUUUGAUGUUUGUGUUGUUUUUCUUCUGCAGAAUUCCUCUUUCCAAGUACUGUUGAUCUCUGGUUCUGGAUUGUCAUUUAUUGUAUUUAAUUAUGGCAGUAUUCCCCAAACUAAACAUAUUGCACUGGUGAGAAAUGGUUUCAAAUAUUUUACAUUUAUUUUAAAUAUUCAAAAUAGCUUUAGCUCCUCUUUUCCACAGGUCUGUAACCAAAAUGUUUGUAAUCAUUAUUUAGGCUGGAUAUGACACUGAUGAUUCAACCAGUUAUUAUACAGUUCCGGGGUCUAACGUCACUAACCUGACCCACUCCACAAAUGUCAAUGUUAAGGGCCGUUGGGCUUUUCGUGUCAACACUUUGCCAAAAGAACAUGUUCUGUUUUAUCCAGCUGGUAAUCAAAACACUCAGAAUCCCUGUCAAAGUAAUGCAAGCUCACCAGCUUGGCACUUGCAGUAUCCUUUCUUGUACUUUGGACGCAAAUACCACAAGAUAUAUGUUGAUAAUAAUGGACUUUUGACGUUUGAACCAUUUUAUGAAAGACUCCCCAAGGCUUUUCCUGCCAACUCUAAUAGAGACAUUAU